GAUGAACGCUGGCGGCGUGCCUAAUACAUGCAAGUCGAGCGAACAGACGAGGAGCUUUCUCCUCUUACGUUAUCGGCGGACGGGUGAGUAACACUUGGAUAACCUACCUAUAAGCCUGGGAUAACUUCGGGAAACCGGCGCUAAUACCGGAUAAUAUAUUGAACCGCAUGGUUCAAUAGUGAAAGACGGUUUUGCUGUCACUUAUAGAUGGAUCCGCGCCGCAUUAGCUAGUUGGUAAGGUAACGGCUUACCAAGGCAACGAUGCGUAGCCGACCUGAGAGGGUGAUCGGCCACACUGGAACUGAGACACGGUCCAGACUCCUACGGGAGGCAGCAGUAGGGAAUCUUCCGCAAUGGGCGAAAGCUUGACGGAGCAACGCCGCGUGAGUGAUGAAGGUCUUCGGAUCGUAAAACUCUGUUAUUAGGGAAGAACAAAUGUGUAAGUAACUAUGCACGUCUUGACGGUACAUAAUCAGAAAGCCACGGCUAACUACGUG
rnacentral:rRNA from 1 species